rnacentral:misc_RNA from 1 species
GUUACAGCCGAAAUGCAACAACAACAGCGCAGUUAUUGGUGAUGAAUUCAAAUGUAACGAUGGUACUUUAUUGGAGCUAUACAAAAGAUGUGAUGGCAUCAGAGACUGUAAAGAUGGUUCAGAUGAAACCUUGAAUGCCUGCGCUGGAAACAUUUGCCCCUCCUACUUGUUCCAGUGCGCGUAUGGGGCCUGUGUCGAAGAGGGAGUUGAUUGUAAUGACGUUUUUGAUUGCGCUGACGGCUCUGAUGAAUCGGAAAUACUCUGCAAGCGAAGUACUCCGCCUGUUACCACGUCCACCAACGAACCUCCGACCACCACAUCAACCAUUGCUGUGCAGAUAUUGAAUAUGUGUAUGCUGCCUCCGCACCCGAAAAAUGGCCGAUUCUUGAAAAACGGUGACUCAGACAUUUACGAACCUGGCGAAUUGAUCACCACCGUGUAUCUGAAUAUCACUUGUAUGCCAGGAUACAAGGUGGUUGGCGAUGAGGUGGUGUUCUGCAUAGGGGGAC